GGGGCAGUACUGGUUUCGACGGGAUCCAUUUUUGGUAGAUAAGCAAGCCGUAGUAUCCAACUCUACGUUAAAAAGGGGAACCUAAAUAUAAACGCAAACGAAAACGUUGCAGUUGCUGCUUAACUAAAAGCGCAUGUCCGAUCUCCGGGCUUUCCUGUUCGGCCCGGACGGGCAUCAACCCAGAACAGGUAACACUUAUCCUCAAGUUCCGGGGGAUAAUGUGUCUUUAAAGGGACUACCGUGCGGCUUCCAGCCUGGAGGGCACGCCGCAGGGGAAUUACAUACUUCAGGAUAAGCUUGUAGAAAUUUUACCCGGAAGCUUCUCGGACAGGGGUUCAAUCCCCCUCUGCUCCACCA
rnacentral:tmRNA from 1 species